rnacentral:rRNA from 1 species
UACGAAGGGGGCUAGCGUUGCUCGGAAUGACUGGGCGUAAAGGGCGCGUAGGCGGAAUGCCUUGUCGGGCGUGAAAUUCCAGGGCUCAACCUUGGGGCUGCGUUCGAGACGGGCAAGACUGGAGUACUGCAGGGGAGACUGGAAUUCCUGGUGUAGCGGUGGAAUGCGCAGAUAUCAGGAGGAACACCGGUGGCGAAGGCGGCUCACUGGCUCAUAUCUGACGCUCAGGCGCGACAGCGUGGGGAUCAAACAGG